rnacentral:rRNA from 1 species
GGAAUUAUUGGGCGUAAAGCGCGCGCAGGCGGAUUGGUCAGUCUGUCUUAAAAGUUCGGGGCUUAACCCCGUGAUGGGAUGGAAACUGCCAAUCUAGAGUAUCGGAGAGGAAAGCGGAAUUCCUAGUGUAGCGGUGAAAUGCGUAGAUAUUAGGAAGAACACCAGUGGCGAAGGCGACUUUCUGGACGAAAACUGACGCUGAGGCGCGAAAGCCAGGGGAGCGAACAGGAUUAGAUACCCUGGUAGUCCGCACAGUAAACGAUGGAUGCCCGCUGUUAGCGCCUGGCGUUAGCGGCUAAGCGAAAGCAUUAAGCAUCCCACCUGGGGAGUACGCCGGCAACGGUGAAACUCAAAGGAAUUGACGGGGGCCCGCACAAGCGGAGGAACAUGUGGUUUAAUUCGAUGAUACGCGAGGAACCUUACCCGGGCUUGAAUUGCAGAGGAAUUAUUUAGA